AGGUAAUGGCUCACCAAGGCAUCGACGGGUAGCGGGACUGAGAGGUUGGCCCGCAACAUCGGGACUGAGACACUGCCCGGACCUCCACGGAGGGCUGCAGUAACGAAUAUUGUGCAAUGGGCGAAAGCCUGACACAGCGACGCCGCGUGUAGGAGGAAGUCCUUCGGGAUGUAAACUACUGUCAGGGGGAAGAAAGUGCGCUUCGGCGCAUUGAUCUAACCCAAAGGAAGUCACGGCUAACUUCGUGCCAGCAGCCGCGGUAAGACGAAGGUGGCAAGCGUUGUUCGGUAUUACUGGGCUUAAAGCGUGUGUAGGCGGAAAAUUAAGCGUUGUGUGAAAUCCCCCGGCUUAACCGGGGAACUGCACAACGAACUGGUUUUCUUGAGGCAAGUAGGGGUGCAUGGAACUCUUGGUGGAGCGGUGGAAUGCGUAGAUAUCAAGAGGAACGCCAGCGGAGAAAUCGGUGCACUGGGCUUGUCCUGACGCUGAGACACGAAAGCGUGGGUAGCGAACGGGAUUAGAUACCCCGGUAGUCCACGCCGUAAACGAUGCCUACUAGGUUGUGAAAGUUCUGACACUCGCACAGCCGAAGCAAAAGUGUUAAGUAGGCCGCCUGGGGAGUACGGUCGCAAGGCUAAAACUCAAAGGAAUUGACGGGGGCUCACACAAGCGGUGGAGCAUGUGGAUCAAUUCGAAUCAACGCGCAGAACCUUACCUGGGUUUGACAUGCAUGUAUGGUUGCCAGGAAACUGGUUAAUCUGCCCUUCGGGGUGAAACUUGCACAGGUGCUGCAUGGCUGUCGUCAGCUCGUGUCGUGAGAUGUCGGGUUAAGUCCUUUAACGAGCGAAACCCUUGCCGUUAGUUGCCAGCGGGUAAUGCCGGGGACUCUAGCGGGACUGCCGGUGUCAAACCGGAGGAAGGUGGGGACGACGUCAAGUCAUCAUGGCCUUUAUGCCCAGGGCCUCACGUGCUACAAUGGCGGCUACAGAGCGAUGCGAGACCGUGAGGUGGAGCAAAUCGCAAAAAGGUCGCCCCAGUUCGGAUUGCAGGCUGACAACUCGCCUGCAUGAAGUUGGAAUCGCUAGUAAUCGCGUAUCAGCUACGACGCGGUGAAUAUGUUCCUGAGCCUUGUACACACCGCCCGUCAAGUCACGGGAGUUGGGAGUACCCGAAGUCAGUUUGCUAACCCGCAAGGGAUGCGACUGCCGACGGUAAGUCCGAUGACUGGGAUUAAGUCGUAACAAGGUA
rnacentral:rRNA from 1 species